rnacentral:tRNA from 1 species
AAAUUUAAAGGUACAUAUUGUCAUUUUCUAU